GCCGGGCGUGGUGGCUCACGCCUGUAAUCCCAGCACCGCAGGAGGCAGAGGCGGGUGGAUCACCUGAGGUCAGGAGUUCGAGACCAGCCUGACCAAUAUGGUGAAACCCCAUCUCUA
rnacentral:SRP_RNA from 1 species